rnacentral:rRNA from 1 species
UGAAUACGAGACGCUAAGGCGUCGAAGUAGUGUAUGUCAUACUUCCAAGAAAAGCUUGCACUGUCAUAGAUAAAAAACGCCUGUACCAUAACCGACACAGGUGGGUAGGUAGAGUAUACUAAGGGGCGCGAGAUAACUCUCUCUAAGGAACUCGGCAAAAUAACUCCGUAACUUCGGGAGAAGGAGUGCCUUAUUCGUAAGGUUGCAAUAACAAGAUCCAAGCAACUGUUUAUCAAAAACACAGGUCUCCGCUAAGUCGUAAGACGAUGUAUGGGGGCUGACGCCUGCCCAGUGCCAGAAGGUUAAAGAAGUUGGUUAGCAAUUGCGAAGCUGAUAACUGAAGCCCUGGUGAACGGCGGCCGUAACGAUAACGGUCCUAAGGUAGCGAAAUUCCUUGUCGGGUAAGUUCCGACCCGCACGAAAGGCGUAAUGAUUUGGAUACUGUCUCGGAGAGGGGCUCGGUGAAAUAGACUUGUCUGUGAAGAUGCGGACUACCUGCACCAGGACAGAAAGACCCUAUGAAGCUUUACUGUAACUUGAAAUUGAAAUUGGACUUUAUUCGCGCAGUAUAGGUGGGAGGCGUUGAUUAUAAUCUUGUGGGAUUAUUGGAGCCAUCAGUGAGAUACCACUCUUGUAAUGUUAGAUUUCUAACUUUGAAUCAUUAUCUGGUCAAAGAACAGUUUCAGGCGGGCAGUUUGACUGGGGCGGUCGCCUCCUAAACGGUAACGGAGGCGUACAAAGGUUUCCUCAGAACGGUUAGAAAUCGUAUCUAGAGUGUAAAGGCAUAAGGAAGCUUGACUGUGAGACCUACAAGUCGAGCAGGGACGAAAGUCGGUCUUAGUGAUCUGACGGUACUGAGUGGAAAGGCCGUCACUCAACGGAUAAAAGUUACUCUAGGAUAACAGGCUGAUCUCCCCCAAGAGUUCACAUCGACGGGGAGGUUUGGCACCUCGAUGUCGGCUCAUCGCAUCCUGGGGCGGUAGUACGUCCCAAGGGUUGGGCUGUUCGCCCAUGAAAGCGGAACGCGAGCUGGGUUCAGAACGUCGUGGGACAGUUCGGUCCAUAUCCGGUGUAGGCGUUAGAAUAUUGAGAGGAGCCUUCUUUAGUACGAGAGGACCGAGAAGGACAUACCUCUGGUGUACCAGUUAUCGUGCCAACGGUAAACGCUGGGUAGCUAUGUAUGGAGUGGAUAACCGCUGAAAGCAUCUAAGUGGGAAGCCCACCUCAAGAUAAGUAUUCUCA